rnacentral:rRNA from 1 species
UACAGAGGGGGCGAGCGUUGUUCGGAAUUAUUGGGCGUAAAGAGCUCGUAGGCGGUCUGUCGCGUCGAAUGUGAAAACCCGGGGCUCAACUCCGGGCUUGCAUUCGAUACGGGCAGGCUAGAGUUCGGUAGGGGAGUCUGGAAUUCCUGGUGUAGCGGUGAAAUGCGCAGAUAUCAGGAGGAACACCGGUGGCGAAGGCGGGACUCUGGGCCGAUACUGACGCUGAGGCACGAAAGCGUGGGGAGCAAACAGG